rnacentral:rRNA from 1 species
AGGCCUAACACAUGCAAGUCGAACGGUAGCACAGAGGAGCUUGCUCCUUGGGUGACGAGUGGCGGACGGGUGAGUAAUGUCUGGGAAACUGCCCGAUGGAGGGGGAUAACUACUGGAAACGGUAGCUAAUACCGCAUAACGUCGCAAGACCAAAGAGGGGGACCUUCGGGCCUCUUGCCAUCGGAUGUGCCCAGAUGGGAUUAGCUAGUAGGUGGGGUAACGGCUCACCUAGGCGACGAUCCCUAGCUGGUCUGAGAGGAUGACCAGCCACACUGGAACUGAGACACGGUC